GCCGGAGUGGCGGAAUGGUAGACGCAGCGGAUUCAAAAUCCGCCGGGGGUAACCUCGUGGGAGUUCGAGUCUCCCCUCCGGCA
rnacentral:tRNA from 2 species